rnacentral:rRNA from 1 species
CGAAAACUGCACAAUGUGGGAAACCACGAUGCGGGAAACCCAAGUGCCAGCACUAUGUGUUGGCUGUCCUCGACUGUUCGUAAGUCGGGAAGAAAGUGCUGGGUAAGACGGGUGCCAGCCGCCGCGGUAAUACCAGCACCCCGAGUGGUCGGGACGAUUAUUGGGCCUAAAGCAUCCGUAGCCGGUCUGUUAGAUCCCUGGGUAAAUCGAUGCGCUCAACGCAUCGAAUUCCGGGUAGACCGGCAGGCUCGAGACCGGGAGAGGUGUAGGCUACUCGAUGGGUAGGGGUAAAAUCCGUUGAUCCAUUGAAGACCACCAGUGGCGAAGGCGGCUUGCCAGAACGCGCUCGACGGUGAGGGAUGAAAGCUGGGGGAGCAAACCGGAUUAGAAACCCCUGUAGUCCGGGUGUAAACGCUGCAG